rnacentral:rRNA from 1 species
ACAAGCCUGAGAAACGGCUAGUAGGAUAAGGUCUGCAGCAGGCGCGAAACUUACACAAUGCUAGAUUUCAUAUAACUUAACGAUGUAAUGAAAAAAAAUAACGAUGUACUUGUAUUUAUACAUACUUGUACAAUUGGAAUGAGACGACUCUAAACCGGUCAGUCUAGUAACAGAUGGAGGGCAAGUCUGGUGCCAGCAGCCGCGGUAAUUCCAGCUCCAUUAGCAUACAUUAAAGUUGUUGCGGUUAAAAAGCUCGUAGUUGAAUGUACUGUUGGUUUUUGUGUGCUGUGGUCAUCAAGGGAUUCGUCAUCUUAACUGACUUCAAUCCUGACCUCUAGUAUCAUAUGAAACCAAUUGUUUCGUCACUUAAUCGAGUGCAAAGCGGGUGGAACUUUUUGUGUUUUAACUAAUACAUAAGCUUCACAUGUUUACCUUGAGAAAAUUAUAGUGCUAAGAGCAAGCAGUUGGGGCGUAAAAACUUCUUUAUGCUUGAAUAAUGUUGCAUGGAAUAAUAUAAUACCGCCUCGGUUCUAUUCUGUUGGUCUUAUAGAACAACAAACAAGUAGUGAUUGUCUUAUACACUGGGUUUAGUGUGAGUUCGUGUUGUCAAGUGCCUUAAAAUCUUUGAUCGCAACAAGCUCUAAACAUCAACCACUUACACAGUACAACUACUGAGGCAAUGGUUAAAACAAAUAAUCGCGGCGGCAUCAGUACUGCAUCGUGAGAG